rnacentral:lncRNA from 1 species
CAGCAAUUUAUGUCUCUUUACCUCAACCUUUACCCCUCCAUAUUCCUUCUUAAGUACUGACACGAAUGUGAUAAAUUCUUUUAAAGAAGUUUCAUGACCAUGAAAAGGUGAAAAGAGAGAUAGCAGCUUACCAAGAAGAAAGGAAGCAUAUGGAAUAGAGGCCAAAGGUAUGAACACCUGCUCCUGACACUU